rnacentral:lncRNA from 1 species
UUAUUUUAUAUUAUUUUAUUUUAGAUCCAACAGUGAAGCUAGAGCAGACUAUCUUUCUCUUUAAAAAUCAAUAAUUCCACACUUAUUUCAGUUUCCAUAAUAUGGAGGCAUGUCUUAAUCUUCAGAGAAUAGUUCAGCUGCCCACAUUUUUAGAAAUGUGCCUUUUACUGUCACCCCAGUCCAUUAAGUAGCAGCUUUCAGGCAGAGGGAGCACCAUAAAAUACAGCAUUCUGUUCUGCUAAAUACUUUGGCAAUUAUCUCAGACCUAAAAGCAGUGCUGGCUUAGAACUUUGGUUGUAGACCACUCUCUAUUGCUUCUGUGCAUAGAAACAUAAUUUGCUCUCUUCCCUUGAUAAAUAGUUUUUUGUAUUUUUGUCCCCUUGGAUUUUAACCUUUUGUAUGGAGUUAGCAGAAAUGACUGAGGAAGGAACGUUUCUUAAGGGCUUCUUAUGUGACAGACUGGGAAAAUAAGCAUUCACAUGCUGCCAAGACUGGAAGAUAUCCAGAUGCCGGUUAUGAUUUCUGUACAUUACUCUCAUUUCUUUUCCCACCAGGGAAACAAACUAAUAGUUGAAAGAAACAAAAUGAGAGAAAAAGCCAAAAUAGUGGCUGCAGCAGAGUAAGUGGUGAAACAUAUAUACUGUUCUUUUUUUUGUUUGUUUUGUUUUCUUUAAAAAAAAAAAAAAUAGUUGGAAAUGCUUUUUAGCAUAUUUGAGUCUGCAAAGGACUGAACUGCUGGGGAGGUCACAGCUUCAUGAUCUGACAGCAGCUCUGUAGUGGAAUGCCUCCUAGUGAAGAUGUAACAGCACCAUGCACACACACACACAAAUACCCCCAAAACACGUCUAGGAUUACCUGGCACUGUAGAGAUAGCAUGGCUAGAGUGUAUAUUAUCUGAAAGUCUUGGAAUGAUUUCACAAAGAAGUUUAUUUGAAUUUAUGGCACCAUUACAGCACAGAAUUAGUUCUGUUUUACAGUUGAAGAGAAUCAGACUCAAUACGGCUGGUGAAUUAAGGACAGGGUAGAAGAAAAUGAUUAAGCAAAUAGAUACAAAUAUAGAAAGGUAUUCAGGCAGAUAAAGAAAAGCUGGGUAUUUUUUGAACCUAGAUAACGUCUAACUAUCAUAAUUCCCUACUGAUUUCUUCAUCGAAAAGGCAAUCAAAAUUUUUUCUUAAUUUUCAGUUAAGAAACAUGGAAAAUAAACUGUUCCUCCCUCAUUUUAAAGAUCUCCA